AUGGGAGUCUGGUUUGUAUACUUACUUCUGAUAGUACAGGAGGUUUUUGUACGGCCACUUAAUGAGUUUGUAUCACUGUGGUGGACUUUUGGUGGAGGAACCAAACUCAUCGUUGACUUGGGUGUGGUGAGGCCCACCCUCACUGUCCUCCCUCCAUCCAAAGAGGAAGACAAACAGAGUAGUGCCACUGUGGUGUGUUUGGCCACCGGGGGUUUCCCCUCAAACUGGAAGCUGGGCUGGAAGGUGGGGGGCACCAGCACAUCUUCGGGGGUUUCAACCAGCCUGGAGGUCUUGGGGACAGACGGUCACUAUAGCUGGAGCAGCACCCUGAGCCUCUCUGCAGACCAGUGGAGGAAGGCGGGCUCAGUGAGCUGUGGGGCCAGUCUGAGUGGACAGUGCCCUGUCACUCAAACCCUGGACCCUGACCACUGCUUAGAGUAGAGCUUCAGCAACACUUCCUGUUUGCAUA